rnacentral:lncRNA from 1 species
AAAAAUGAAUACCCUGAAUUAAUCAUGAGAAAACAUCAGACAAAACAAAUUGAGGGACUCACUGAAAGUUUCAAGGUCAUGAAAGACAAAAAAAGAUUGAGGAACAGUUCCAGAUUACAUGAGGCUAAGAAGACAUGGCAACUAAAUGAAUCCUGUACAAGAAAAAGAACAUUAGUGGGACAACUGGUAAAAUUUGAAUAAGAUAUGAAUGAGAGAACAUGUAGCCUAUUUUCGACUACUGGACAACUUACCUACAAGAUGAAGCCAACAAUGUUGUUAGCACAGAAAGACAAAAUAAAACCUGGAUCCUUGAUCAUAUUACUAAACUGCUGGAUCAAUGAAUUCUGAUACACGCUGCCAAGCAUGUGGGCCAAUAAAUGUACUCAUUGUUGAAGCCA